rnacentral:rRNA from 1 species
CCUACGGGUGGCAGCAGUGAGGAAUAUUGGUCAAUGGGCUUACGCCUGAACCAGCCAAGUCGCGUGAGGGAAGACUGCCCUAUGGGUUGUAAACCUCUUUUGUCAGGGAGCAAUUGGCGCUACGUGUAGCGUUAUCGAGAGUACCUGAAGAAAAAGCAUCGGCUAACUCCGUGCCAGCAGCCGCGGUAAUACGGAGGAUGCGAGGGUUAUCCGGAUUUGUUGGGUUUAAAGGGUGGGUAGGCGGAAUGCCAAGUCAGCGGUAAAAGCGCGGGGCUCAACCUCGCUCCGCCGUUGAAACUGGCGGUCUUGAGUGGGCGAGAAGUAUGCGGAAUGCGUGGUGUAGCGGUGAAAUGCAUAGAGAUCACGCAGAACUCCGAUUGCGAAGGCAGCAUACCGGCGCCCAACUGACGCUGAAGCACGAAAGCGUGGGUAUCGAACAGGAUUAGAUACCCCUGUAGUC